GUAGAGACAGGAUUUUACCAGGGUGAAGUGGCUGAAAACCGGCGUGAUAAAGUGGCGAACACCACAUUCCAGCCAAACUGCUGGCAACUAAACGUUAAGAAGAAAGACAAAAAACCCCCAAUUUGCCGGGAGGUUCUUCGGAGGAAAAUGUUUCCUGCACACGUGAGAACUGCUGCCACACUCCGUAUCUGAGUUAGGAAUAGACAUUUGUAGAUACGCAGCAUUUCCUGUGCCCGAAGAGAAGAGGGCAGGGGCUUGGUUAGGCUCGUGCGAAUUAUUUAAGGACAAAGCAGUUUGGAACUGUUUUUAUUUGGAAGUACAUCAAGAAUGCUAUCCUUGCAUUUGCGUCUGAGUUGGGAUAUCUAAGGAGAGGAAAAUACAAGAGCAAAAAGGGAAAUCUGGAAGCUUAAUGGGUCAGCACGCUUUGGAACAUGAAAACCUUGUUUAAAGCCUUAGAGAAUAAAUUGUUACAUUACUGUU